GACGAACGCUGGCGGCGUGCUUAACACAUGCAAGUCGAACGGAAAGGCCCUGCUUUUGUGGGGUGCUCGAGUGGCGAACGGGUGAGUAACACGUGAGUAACCUGCCCUUGACUUUGGGAUAACUUCAGGAAACUGGGGCUAAUACCGGAUAGGAGCUCCUGCUGCAUGGUGGGGGUUGGAAAGUUUCGGCGGUUGGGGAUGGACGCGCGGCUUAUCAGCUUGUUGGUGGGGUAGUGGCUUACCAAGGCGUUGACGGGUAGCCGGCCUGAGAGGGUGACCGGCCACACUGGAACUGAGACACGGUCCAGGCUCCUACGGGAGGCAGCAGUGGGGAAUAUUGGACGAUGGGCGAAAGGCUGAUCCAGACAUGCCGCGUGUGUGAAGAAGGUCUUCGGAUGGUAAAGCACUUUAAGUUGGGAGGAAGGGCAGUAAGUUAAUACCUUGCUGUUUUGACGUUACCAACAGAAUAAGCACCGGCUAACUUCGUG
rnacentral:rRNA from 1 species